rnacentral:rRNA from 1 species
GAUGAACGCUGGCGGCGUGCCUAAUACAUGCAAGUCGAGCGAACAGACGAGGAGCUUGCUCCUCUGACGUUAGCGGCGGACGGGUGAGUAACACGUGGAUAACCUACCUAUAAGACUGGGAUAACUUCGGGAAACCGGAGCUAAUACCGGAUAAUAUAUUGAACCGCAUGGUUCAAUAGUGAAAGACGGUUUUGCUGUCACUUAUAGAUGGAUCCGCGCCGCAUUAGCUAGUUGGUAAGGUAACGGCUUACCAAGGCGACGAUGCGUAGCCGACCUGAGAGGGUGGUAGGCCACCCUGGAACUUGGACACGGACCAGACUCCUACGGGAGGCAGCAGUAGGGAAUCUUCCGCAAUGGGCGAAAGCCUGACGGAGCAACGCCGCGUGAGUGAUGAAGGUCUUCGGAUCGUAAAGCUCUGUUAUUAGGGAAGAACAAAUGUGUAAGUAACUAUGCACGUCUUGACGGUACCUAAUCAGAAAGCCACGGCUAACUACGUG